UACGUAGGGCCCGAGCGUUAUCCGGUAUUAUUGGGCGUAAAGAGUACGUAGGCGGUCUUGUAAGACAGUGGUAAAAGCCCCGAGCUCAACUCGGGAUCUGCCAUUGUGACUACGAGACUAGUCGAUAGCAGGGGCAAGCAGAAUUCUCGGUGUAGGAGUGAAAUCCGUUGAGAUCGAGAGGAAUACCAAUGGCGAAGGCAGCUUGCUAGGCUAUUUGAGACGCUGAGGUACGAAAGCGUGGGGAGCGAACGGG
rnacentral:rRNA from 1 species